rnacentral:lncRNA from 1 species
ACUUGGACAUUUUCGUGUAUUAAGGUAUUGUGUUCACUCGAACAACAGUUUAAAGCAAAUUAAGCACAACCAAGGCCUGCUGGAAAUGCUAAAAUAAUUGACCAUUGUAAAAGCAAAAGGCUAGUGGUGUAUAUAAAUAAAUCCUAGCACUAUAGAAUAUUACAAAGGAUGAAACCUGGGUUUGGCAAUUUCACCCAAUUAGAACCGACGACAAAUUCAACCAACUUUUUUCCAUGCAAUUAUUUAGCCAGACCAGAUCAAGCAAAUCAAUAAGAUUAGCACAGUAAGAUAAAGAAAGUCACAACUACAACAUUUCCGACUGGUCUCUGAAGUUCAUCAUAGAGUAUUCAACUUUUUUCUUGAUCAUCAUCUCAACCAAUGAGUCAUAAUUUGCCACCACUCAACCUUCUGAACGACGUUAUGAAUUACAUUCAUGCGUUCUGUUUUUCUAGCUUCAUAAGUUGCAUGAAUUCCCCAAAUACUGCCCAUAGAACAAUUUUAUUAGCAAUAGACUCAAAAAAUUUGCUUAGAAA